CCUGCCAGGCUCCUCCGUCCAUGGAAUUUUCCUGGCAAGGAUACUGGAGUGGGUUGCCAUUUCCUCCUUCAGGGGCUCUUCCCUACCCAGGGAUCGAACCCUGGUCUCCUGCACUGCAGGCAGACUCUACCGCAUGAGCCACUAGGGAAAUUCCUCAGAGGCUGUGGAACGUUCUGGCAGGGGCAGAGCCCCUCCCCCGCACUGCCUCCUGCACAACAGCGGGGCGGAAGGAGCAGAGAGGGAGGGAGGCCUCUGAUUGGAGGAGGCUUGGUGAGAGGGCGGGGCGGUGGGCGUGUCCAACGGCCCCUGAAAAAGUCGUUGGGAUCCGUUAAGUUCCAGCGGCACCUCGCUCAUUUUUCUCUAAGGUGGCAUGAAGCUGACUUAGUUGGAGAACGGGCUUAUGGGGAUCUCCCCUUUCAGGAAGAUGAGAACUGCUAUAAGGAUUCAGGAAAACCCCUGAGGCCCAGGAUGUGGAGAACUGAGCGCCCCGUCCCUCACCGCCGGUUGGUUGUAGACGUUGUGGAGGGAGGGGUGCAAGGGGUUUUGUGCUCCCGGUCCCGCCAGGAGAUGGGCGGUGGUUGGAGAUGGGCCCCCAAGUCCUUCACAAGCCCCUUCCCCCUCGCCUCGGGGCUCAUCCGAGCAUUUCUCCGCUCUUUUCUCCCUUUACCUCUGUGUCUCUCUUGUGGGAAGAUUCCAUUCUUCCAUCCCAAGGAGGAGAGCCACUCGAAUGUCCUGAAAGACACUGGGACUCCGAGGACAGGAUGGGUCAGUCAAGCCAUAACAGAGCAUGGAGCCAGUUCCUUUGUCCACCCUGUCAUCUUCUAGGAACUAGGAAGCACCCUUCCUGGGUCCCUGCCCCAGUGGACUUCUCCAGUUCUUCCUUCCCAGCCGUUGCUGUGGCAUUAGCCAUCUGGAAAAAGAGCUGCUGGUAGGACCUGGGACUUUUGUUCACACCCAUAAGCCUUCCCUCCAGAUAUCCAGUACUUUGCCUUCAGGAAGGAGACUUGAACUUCAGGCAACAGGAGAAAACCAAACCUUCAAGGGCUUUGGUUCCCUCCAAGGCCAAGGUUCCCAAGAUCCUUGGUUAAGAGGUCUGGGCCACUGCCCUCCCGUCUUCACUCUUCUUUUCCCUGUUUGUCCCAGAGUUCUGCUAUAACCCCAAAGCUUUUCUGUUUACCAUCAACAUGGAAACUUGACUCUUCAUAUAGGUAUAUUUUCCCUCUUUUGUGCAUCAUCUUGUUCCCAAAAACUGCCUUUUCAUGAAGGAGGCUUGUGGGACUCAAGGGGCCUGGCCAGUCACCCAGGCUCCCCCGAAGCCUCAGACCACUGGUAAUGUGGAGAAGUUUAAUAAAGAUGUCAUUACUUCUUGACUUGU
rnacentral:tRNA from 1 species